AUACAUACUUAUCAGUGAGAUACAAAUAUCAUGUACGUGGGUUUCAUGGGGUGAGGCGAAGUCAUUACACUCAGGAUGUGCUAACCCUUGCAAUUUUCCAACCUUUGGAAACUCGACUACACAAUUUAUGGUAGUGGUGAACUGUAUUCAUACUCCCUUCUU